rnacentral:rRNA from 1 species
ACUAAUGUUGAAAAAUUAGCGGAUGACUUGUGGCUGGGGGUGAAAGGCCAAUCAAACCGGGAGAUAGCUGGUUCUCCCCGAAAGCUAUUUAGGUAGCGCCUCGUGAAUUCAUCUCCGGGGGUAGAGCACUGUUUCGGCAAGGGGGUCAUCCCGACUUACCAACCCGAUGCAAACUGCGAAUACCGGAGAAUGUUAUCACGGGAGACACACGGCGGGUGCUAACGUCCGUCGUGAAGAGGGAAACAACCCAGACCGCCAGCUAAGGUCCCAAAGUCAUGGUUAAGUGGGAAACGAUGUGGGAAGGCCCAGACAGCCAGGAUGUUGGCUUAGAAGCAGCCAUCAUUUAAAGAAAGCGUAAUAGCUCACUGGUCGAGUCGGCCUGCGCGGAAGAUGUAACGGGGCUAAACCAUGCACCGAAGCUGCGGCAGCGACACUAUGUGUUGUUGGGUAGGGGAGCGUUCUGUAAGCCUGUGAAGGUGGCCUGUGAGGG